UACGAAAGGGGCUAGCGUUUUUCGGAAUUACUGGGCGUAAAGCGCACGUAGGCGGCCUUGUAAGUUGGGGGUGAAAUCCCGGAGCUCAACUCCGGAACUGCCUUCAAGACUGCAAAGCUCGAGGACGCGAGAGGUGAGCGGAAUUCCGAGUGUAGAGGUGAAAUUCGUAGAUAUUCGGAAGAACACCAGUGGCGAAGGCGGCUCACUGGCCCGUUGCUGACGCUGAGGUGCGAAAGCGUGGGGAGCAAACAGG
rnacentral:rRNA from 1 species